CGCUGGCGGCAGGCCUAACACAUGCAAGUCGAGCGGAUGAAGGGAGCUUGCUCCUGGAUUUAGCGGCGGACGGGUGAGUAAAGCCUAGGAAUCUGCCUGGUAGUGGGGGACAACGACUCGAAAGGGUCGCUAAUACCGCAUACGUCCUACGGGAGAAAGUGGGGGAUCUUCGGACCUCACGCUAUCAGAUGAGCCUAGGUCGGAUUAGCUAGUAGGUGAGGUAAUGGCUCACCUAGGCGACGAUCCGUAACUGGUCUGAGAGGAUGAUCAGUCACACUGGAACUGAGACACGGUCCAGACUCCUACGGGAGGCAGCAGUGGGGAAUAUUGGACAAUGGGCGAAAGCCUGAUCCAGCCAUGCCGCGUGUGUGAAGAAGGUCUUCGGAUUGUAAAGCACUUUAAGUUGGGAGGAAGGGUUGUAGUUUAAUACGCUGCAACUUUGACGUUACCAACAGAAUAAGCACCGGCUAACUCUGUGCCAGCAGCCGCGGUAAUACAGAGGGUGCAAGCGUUAAUCGGAAUUACUGGGCGUAAAGCGCGCGUAGGCGGCUUGAUAAGAUGGGUGUGAAAUCCCCGGGCUUAACCUGGGAACUGCAUCCAUAACUGUCUGGCUAGAGUACAGUAGAGGGUGGUGGAAUUUCCUGUGUAGCGGUGAAAUGCGUAGAUAUAGGAAGGAACACCAGUGGCUAUGGCGACCACCUGGACUGAUACU
rnacentral:rRNA from 1 species